GCAAUUCACCUAGCCACCAUUGAUGGCUACCAAAUGGCGGCCCAAGGAUGGCUAUAAUCAGCCCCACAUGGAUUCAUGUCUCCAAUGGCUUAGAUCAACAUAUUGAAGAGAUCAAGUGCACUAAUUUAUGACACAUGGUGAAUCGCUAUUGAUGCCUAAGUUCAGUUGCCAUAACAUGUUAAUCGAGCUUGUCAAGUUAGCCUCGGCUAGGUUUCCACUCUCUUUGAUCGACCUUGGCUCAAGCUUGAACUUGAGAGUAGGGGCCAAGUGUUGUGGACCUCCACCUCAUCCUCGACUGAUUUGGUCCUCAGAUAUGGCCG
rnacentral:lncRNA from 1 species